rnacentral:rRNA from 1 species
AUUCCCCUAGUAACGGCGAGUGAAGCGGGAAGAGCUCAAAUUUGAAAUCUGGUGGCCUCAGGUCAUCCGAGUUGUAAUCUAUAGAAGUGUUUUCCGUGCUGGCUCAUGUACAAGUCCCUUGGAACAGGGCGUCAUAGAGGGUGAGAAUCCCGUCCUUGACAUGAACUACCAGUGCUCUGUGAUACAUUUUCAACGAGUCGAGUUGUUUGGGAAUGCAGCUCAAAAUGGGUGGUAAAUUCCAUCUAAAGCUAAAUAUUGGCGAGAGACCGAUAGCGAACAAGUACCGUGAGGGAAAGAUGAAAAGCACUUUGGAAAGAGAGUUAAACAGUAUGUGAAAUUGUUGAAAGGGAAACGAUUGAAGUCAGUCGUGCUCUUUGGAUUCAGCCGGUUCUGCCGGUGUACUUCCUUUGAGUGGGGUCAACAUCAGUUUUGAUCGCUGGAUAAAGGCUGGAGGAACGUAGUACCCUCGGGUAAACUUAUAGCCUCCUGUCACAUACAGUGGUUGGGACUGAGGAACGCAGCACGCCUUUAUGGCCGGGAUUCGUCCACGUACGUGCUUAGGAUGUUGACAUAAUGGCUU